GCCAUAUCAUGUCAAACCAGCUCCCAUACAAUCACCGAAGUUAAGCAAUAUCGAGCCUGGUCAGUACCUAGAUCGAAGAUCACUUGGGAAUGCCAGAUGCUGUAAG